rnacentral:rRNA from 1 species
UGGGGAAUUUUGGACAAUGGGGGCAACCCUGAUCCAGCCAUGCCGCGUGAGUGAAGAAGGCCUUCGGGUUGUAAAGCUCUUUCGGCGGGGACGAAACGGUCCGUGACAACACCACGGACUAAUGACAGUACUCGCAGAAGAAGCACCGGCUAACUACGUGCCAGCAGCCGCGGUAAUACGUAGGGUGCAGGCGUUAAUCGGAAUUACUGGGCGUAAAGCGUGCGCAGGCGGCUCCUUAAGUCAGAUGUGAAAUCCCCGGGCUUAACCUGGGAACUGCGUUUGAAACUGAGGGGCUAGAGUGUGGAAGAGGGGGGUGGAAUUCCAGGUGUAGCAGUGAAAUGCGUAGAUAUUGGGAAGAACACCAGUGGCGAAGGCGGCUAACUGGUCCGGUACUGACGCUGAGGUGC